AAACAAAUUUACGCGAAUAUGUCAUCUCGAGUCGUCCUCGAUCCCCCCGUCUCCCCCUGCUCCAUGCCCAUCCGCCGCCGGCCCCUGCACCAUUCGCCGCCGCCCCCUCCUCCAUCCCGCGACAGAUCGACGUCGUCGUCCUUCCCCAUCUGUCUGCGCCCGCGGGCGCCGUCGGUUCCGUCGUCCAAUCCCGCGAAUCCCGCCCAGGCGGCGGCUGCCGCCGCCGUGCCGCCGCUCAUCCGCACCCGGGCGGGCGUCGACUUGCCGACGUGCCGGUCUCCAUCCCUGCCGUGAGCCUCCCCAGGAGUCCCUGUCGAUGGCCGUCGCCGCACGCCCAGCGCAGCCCAUCCCCGUCCCCGGCUGCUCGACCGGCGGGCCGAUCAUGCGGGCGUGGCGACAUGGCCCGUCCCCGUCCCCGGCCGCGGCCGCGCACGCCCCGGCGUUGGCAACGGCAGCAUCUACGACCCCGCCGAUCCGCCGCCUGUCCGCGGCCAAGCGGCCGUCCACGUCGAGUCGUCGCUGCUCCCUCUCAUCGGUGGGCUCGCCUACAUCUGCUGGUAAUUUCUUCCCCUCGGGCCUGAGGGUAGAUUGCAAUCUUUGACUUGAGGAACCAAUCUUAAAAUUUUACUAAAAUGAAGGUUGGGAAUGGAGAGAGGAGCUGCUCAUGAGUUGCGAGUGGUGACUGCAGAUACGGUCCUCGGGUUCUGAUGCCCCCACUAGCACGGUCGCCCUUGCCUCCGUUAGUUAAUCUUGCAACUGGUGGAAGGAGUACCUCGGUUCUCCAUGCUGUGGUGUAGAUUAGGUACUCCGUGGUAGGUUGUCUAGGUUAUUAGUUCUACUUUUAAAGCUUGAUUUUGUUUAGGUGCUCACUUUUCUGAAGUUGGUUCAAAUCAGCUCUCAGCUUUUGUACACUGACCCAAUUAGAUGUCUCGUUAGGCUGUUGAUUAAGUGAACUUUGCUUAUGCAUUAUGAUUUCAGUUUGUUUUAGAACAAUACUACUACAUGUGUUUGAAAUACUGAAGGAUCAAACAGAUGACUAAUAGGAUUGUGACAAAGGAGCACGCGAUAUUCUAUUUGCCCUAGAAUUUGAUGUAGCGAUGUAACUGAAUGUGUUACUCUUCAUUAAUUUUAACAACCUGUAGGUACUGCUGAAAUGGACAAUUCAUUUAUGCCUUCACAGGCCUGUUUAGGCAUUCGCACAGUUCUAGUUUAUUCAUCUGCACGGUGAUAUAACUGAAUAUAUGCAUUGGAAGAGGAUAACCAAUUUUGCUAACUACCACAAGAAUUUUAUAAACUUAUAAAGCCCAAAAAGUCUUCAGACUUGUGAAUCUGUCCAACCAUUGGUAUUAUAUAAGUACAAAGCUGUUUAUUUUACUCGAAUUACUGGAUGAUUGGUAUGACUAUCAUGUGGGGCCGCACCUAUACUAAAAAAAGGCGCUCCCGGGAUGUCCGCAGGGCCGCAGACGGCGCGCCAGCUGAGCUGUAGGCGCGGUCACCACGCUUGCAGAGCGCGCUGAAUUGGCAAGUGCCUAGAAGGAAGCAGAGCUGAUCAUGGCCUUAGAUUUAGGAGCAAUUGGCUCCAAGCUGUUAGGGCCAAGUAGCCUGUAUAUGUUUGUAAUCAGGAUGAUGAAAGGCAAGCAAGAACAAUUAUCCUAUUCCCUAAUCUUCCUUUGGCUAAAUCAAUCGGGCGCUGAGGGGUAAAACCUCGUCCCUAACCACGGAUCACGGCUACGAACUACGUAGCCGGGGUCCUCCUGCCCUGUCCCUCGACGCCCUUGACAAACCUCGCCCCUAACCACGGAUUGUGGCUACGAACUACGUAGCCGAGGUCCUCCUGCCGUGUCCCUCGACGCCCUUGACAAUGGCAUUCUUAAGCUCUGCACACAUCGACAGUUGUGUGGACUUGUGGACAACAAAAAUAGAUAAUGGCAACAGUUACAAGAGUUGAUGGAGCUUAUGUUAUAUAUUAUGUCAAAUUUGUUUGAGAUUAGAGAUUACAAAGCUACUUCCUAAUUGAUUUUGGACUUCUCUGGAGGCUGCAGCUAGGUGCUUGAUGUCCUCGAAGGGAAGUGGAGGAGCUUAUCAUCGAUUUGGUGGCCAGUUGGUUAUAAUUUGAUACAGCAGCUUAGGAUCAUAGUCUUUGUAAUGUAACAGUGCAAAAUUGUCUUUGGCAAGUAGUUCAGAAGGCUCAUUUUAUUGUAUUUAUUUUAAUAUAAUUUAUUAUUGUUGUAAUCAAUCAAUACAAAUUCGUAAUGUGUAAAUUACUUUGCUCACUUUGGGUGAUUCUCUGUGACAUGCCUGGUCUCCGACCAGCGCUUCAGCAGUUGCAGUUCAGCUUAUUAGCCUGG
rnacentral:lncRNA from 1 species